rnacentral:rRNA from 1 species
GAUGAACGCUGGCGGCGUGCCUAAUACAUGCAAGUCGAGCGAACAGAUGAGGAGCUUGCUCCUCUGACGUUAGCGGCGGACGGGUGAGUAACACGUGGAUAACCUACCUAUAAGACUGGGAUAACUUCGGGAAACCGGAGCUAAUACCGGAUAAUAUAUUGAACCGCAUGGUUCAAUAGUGAAAGACGGUUUUGCUGUCACUUAUAGAUGGAUCCGCGCCGCAUUAGCUAGUUGGUAAGGUAACGGCUUACCAAGGCAACGAUGCGUAGCCGACCUGAGAGGGUGAUCGGCCCCACUGGAACUGAGACACGGUCCAGACUCCUACGGGAGGCAGCAGGAGGGAAUCUUCCGCAAAGGGCGAAAGCCUGACGGAGCAACGCCGCGUGAGUGAUGAAGGUCUUCGGAUCGUAAAACUCUGUUAUUAGGGAAGAACAAAUGUGUAAGUAACUAUGCACGUCUUGACGGUACCUAAUCAGAAAGCCACGGCUAACUACGUG